CUACGGGCGGCUCCAGUGAGGAAUUUUGCGCAAUGGGGGGAACCCUGACGCAGCAACGCCGCGUGAGUGAAGAAGGCCCUUGGGUCGUAAAGCUCUGUCAACAGGGAAGAAGUUACUGGGUAUUAAUAGUAUUUAGUAUUGACAGUACCUGUGAAGGAAGCACCGGCUAACUCCGUGCCGGCAGGCCGCGGGUAAUACGGGGGGUGCAAGCGUUAUUCGGAAUUAUUGGGCGUAAAGGGCGCGCAGGCGGCCUUGUCAGUCAGAUGUGAAAGGCCAGGGCUCAACCCUGGAAGUGCAUUUGAAACAGCAAGGCUUGAGUACGGUAGAGGAAAGGGGAAUUCCUGGUGUAGAGGUGAAAUUCGUAGAUAUCAGGAGGAACACCGGUGGCGAAGGCGCCUUUCUGGGCCUGUACUGACGCUGAGGCGCGAAGGCGUGGGUAGCGAACAGGAUUAGAUACCCCGGUAGUC
rnacentral:rRNA from 1 species